CCUACGGGGGGCUGCAGUGGGGAAUAUUGGACAAUGGGGGCAACCCUGAUCCAGCCAUGCCGCGUGUGUGAAGAAGGCCCUCGGGUUGUAAAGCACUUUCAGUGAGGAAGAACGCCUGGUGGUUAAUACCCAUCAGGAAAGACAUCACUCACAGAAGAAGCACCGGCUAACUCCGUGCCAGCAGCCGCGGUAAUACGGAGGGUGCGAGCGUUAAUCGGAAUUACUGGGCGUAAAGCGCGCGUAGGUGGCUUGAUAAGCCGGUUGUGAAAGCCCCGGGCUCAACCUGGGAACGGCAUCCGGAACUGUCAAGCUAGAGUGCAGGAGAGGAAGGUAGAAUUCCCAGUGUAGCGGUGAAAUGCGUAGAGAUCGGGAGGAAUACCAGUGGCGAAGGCGGCCUUCUGGACUGACACUGACACUGAGGUGCGAAAGCGUGGGGAGCAAACAGGAUUAGAUACCCCUGUAGUC
rnacentral:rRNA from 1 species